rnacentral:rRNA from 1 species
CUACGUGCCAGCAGCCGCGGUAAUACGGAAGGUCCUGGCGUUAUCCGGAUUUAUUGGGUUUAAAGGGAGCGCAGGCUGCACUUUAAGCGUGUUGUGAAAUGUACCGGCUCAACCGGUAACGUGCAGCGCGAACUGGGGUGCUUGAGUACGAAGAGGGAAGGCGGAACUCGUGGUGUAGCGGUGAAAUGCUUAGAUAUCACGAGGAACUCCGAUCGCGAAGGCAGCUUUCCGUUUCGGGACUGACGCUGAGGCUCGAAAGUGCGGGUAUCGAACAGGAUUAGAUACCCUGGUAGUCCGCACGGUAAACGAUGGAUGCUCGCUGUUGGAUAUUUUUAUUCAGUGGCUAAGUGAAAACGUUAAGCAUCCCACCUGGGGAGUACGCCGGCAACGGUGAAACUCAAAGGAAUUGACGGGGGCCCGCACAAGCGGAGGAACAUGUGGUUUAAUUCGAUGAUACGCGAGGAACCUUACCCGGGCUUGA